rnacentral:lncRNA from 1 species
CAAUGAAAUACCUGGCUAAUUUAGCAUAACUCUCCUCAGCCGAACCCAUCAAAUCCUCCAAUGCACAUUCUUUAGCCUUCCAAGCCUUCUGAUAGCUCAUGACCACCCCGUACUCUCGUCGAAUAUCAUUAAUGAUGUCCGAAGGUCUGUAGAUCGUUCGUGGAUCCUGAAACUUGUGCAUUAUUUCUCGACCAAUGAACCAUGAUCGGGCCUGCCUGUGAUCAUUUCGACGAAUACCCACUUCGCAAAUAUGUUCCCGUGCAUACUUACGGACUACAAAAAAUUCAUUCGUAUCCAUCUUAGUCGCUCGCAAACGCCAAUGGCAAUUGUCGUCAACACAGAUAAUUGUGUAUAACGACUUGUUUGAUUUCUUCACUUUAAACUCGAAGUUAUGUUUUAAAGCAAUCCGGUGCACAGCUUCUUGCAAUUCUUUCUUUGAUUCGAAUAGUUGCUCGACAUAUACAUCUUCAUCAUCGGGAACUACACGCGAACAAUUAGAGGACCGUGUACUCGGUCCGGCCUGUGAGCUCCCACCCAACUCAUGUCUCUUACGAGAUAAAGCAAUCAAAUUCUCGUUUGUAAAUGCAUUUUCAUUCUCGUUGUCUUCAACUAUUGUUGGAAUUCUGUGCGUAACAGUGUGACCAUGGUGAGUAGCAGUGGUCUCGGGAAUAACCACAUCAUCUUCACGAACAAUCUGAAUUGUAUCCCAAACAUCAUUUAC